rnacentral:rRNA from 1 species
UACGUAGGGUGCAAGCGUUGUCCGGAAUCAUUGGGCGUAAAGAGCGUGUAGGCGGCUCGUUAAGUCCGCUGUGAAAGUCAAGGGCUCAACCCUUGAAUGCCGGCGGAUACUGUCGGGCUAGAGUCCGGAAGAGGCGAGUGGAAUUCCUGGUGUAGCGGUGAAAUGCGCAGAUAUCAGGAGGAACACCUACGGCGAAGGCAGCUCGCUGGGACGGUACUGACGCUGAGACGCGAAAGCGUGGGGAGCGAACAGG